AGCGUUCUGUCAGCGGUGAAGGUCGAUCGUAAGGGCGACUGGAGCGGACAGAAGUGAGAAUGCAGGCAUGAGUAGCGUACAAACACGUGAGAACCGUGUUCGCCGUAAGUCUAAGGUUUCCGACGCCAGGUCAUUCCGCGUCGGGUUAGUCGAGUCCUUAGCCGAGGCCGAGAGGCGUAGGUGAUGGACAUCCGGUCAACAUUCCGGAACCGCUAGAGAGUGCGAUGGGAGGACGCAACGAGGUAGGCCAGCCCAUUAUUGGAUUUGGGUUCGAUCCAUCUAGGUGUUGAGACUGGUAGGUAAAUCCGCCAGUUGAGCUGAGGUGGGAGCGGGCCGUAAGGCGAAGUGGCUGAGCCUUGUUGCCAAGAAAAGUCUCUAAGCAUAACUUUCUAGUGCUCGUACCGCAAACCGACACU
rnacentral:rRNA from 1 species